CAAGGUAUGACUUUUAAUCUUUGGCCAGCCUAUUUUUCUUUCUUUCUCUCUGGUUUCUUUCUCUGACAUUCAUUUCAGAUCCUUUUUUUUUCACUAUCUUGGCUAUUUUUCUCUUCUUAUUUUUUCAGACUUGUUCAUUCUUUUCAACUCAACCAGAUUUUUUUCAAAUCAUUUUUCUUUUCUUUUUCACCUCUAGCCUUACUCUUUUUCAUACACUCACCAAGUUCUAGACUUCUCCCUACAUCUCGCAAGUCUCUAAGGGUUGAUUAAUAGUUGGAGAGAAAGGCUUAAAA
rnacentral:lncRNA from 1 species